rnacentral:lncRNA from 1 species
CCGGUUGUGCAUCAAUAUUCUGAAACAAAAGAUUUCCAACUUCAUGAGACUUUUAAAUGCCUUGUUUUUAAAAAGGACUGUUUUUUUUGGUCAUUAAAAAGGAAUAAUAAAGAAACCUUAACUUGCACCGGAUAGAGUGAAGGAAAAUUCAUCUCGGAUUCGGCUGUCUUUUGCCUUCUAUUUCUUCUUCUAUUUCUUAUCGACGCAACUGUGGAAUCUGCAGUCUUAAUGAAUAUUACCCUUCGCUAUGAGAUUGGCAAUUUACUUAAAAAAGGAAAGUGAAUGGGGUUUUGCAGGAGAUUUUGCAUUAUCUGAUGAGAAAUAGAACGAAAAGGGUGAAGUUUUUGGGUUCUAGAUGGUGGAGAGAUUAGUGGAAAAAUAAUCCCUACAAUUUUGAGAUUUUGGUUGAAUAUGGGAGAUUCUUAAGCUCUAACACAUGAUCCCUUAAAUCAUGGGUCAGUGUUUAGAAAUAAAAAAUUUAAUGGUAACAUAUUAUUUUUAAAAUAUGUUAUAUAUAAAUAUGAAUUUGCUCCUUUUCAAAUAAAUCAAAAGUACUAUUGUUUAUAUAAUAUUUGCUUCCUAAUUGCUCUAGUAAAAAUCUCUUUUUAUUUAAAACUCACUCACUUAUGUUGGACCAAAUUUAAAAGGCCAAAAAAUCACUUGAAAGGAAUGGAUGAAAACACAAAG